rnacentral:rRNA from 1 species
UUACGACUACAUAUCAGGCAUAUCAAUAAGCGGAGGAAAAGAAACUAACUAGGAUUCCCUCAGUAACGGCGAGUGAAGCGGGAAGAGCUCAAAUUUGAAAUCUUCAAGGUUCUACCUUGACGAAUUGUAGUUUAAAGAAGUGUUUUCUGUUGGAGUUUUGGUAAAAGUUCUUUGGAAUAGGACAUCAUAGAGGGUGAGAAUCCCGUAUUUGACCAUUAUUUCCAACUUUGUGAUACACUUUCAAAGAGUCGGAUUGUUUGGGAAUGCAGUCCAAAAUGGGUGGUAAAUUUCAUCUAAAGCUAAAUAUUGGCGAGAGACCGAUAGCGAACAAGUACCGUGAGGGAAAGAUGAAAAGAACUUUGAAAAGAGAGUUAAACAGUACGUGAAAUUGUCAAAAGGGAAGCGUUUGACACCAGUGUUGUUUUCUCGAAAAUCAAUUAAAAAUGGCAGUGAUUUUGUGUUGUAUUGACUUUAUCAGCUUUCUGCACCUUUUUCUUGUCUUUUUUAAUGCACUUUUCGUUUAACAAGUCAACAUCAAUUUCUUUUGUUGUAAAAGAGUCAUUGGAAGGUGGCUUUCCUUUCGGAUGAAAGUGUUUAUAGCCUUUGACUUCUGCAGUCGGAGAGAUUGAGGUCUGCAGCGUAGAUCCUUCGGGGUUAGAUGCAUUUGUGCUAAGUUAUAGCUUUUCAUAGACAACAUGUUGACUAUGAUUAGUCAUGUAGCUUACUCGCUUAUGCUAUUGUACCUACGCUUAGGAUGUUGACGCGCGUGUGUGCGUG